GAGGGUAUAGCUCAAGUGGUAGAGCAUGUGCCUAGCACGCACGAGGCCCUGGGUUCAAUCCCCAGUAUCUCCU
rnacentral:tRNA from 1 species